UACAGAGGUCCCGAGCGUUGUUCGGAUUCACUGGGCGUAAAGGGUGCGUAGGUGGUGAGGUAAGUCGGAUGUGAAAUCUCCGGGCUCAACCCGGAAACUGCAUUGGAAACUACCUUGCUGGAGGGUUUGAGGGGGGACUGGAAUUCUCGGUGUAGCAGUGAAAUGCGUAGAUAUCGAGAGGAACACCGGUGGCGAAGGCGAGUCCCUGGAAAACACCUGACACUGAGGCACGAAAGCUAGGGGAGCAAACAGG
rnacentral:rRNA from 1 species